rnacentral:rRNA from 1 species
AUGGCUUCUGGAUCCACUUCUUCCGGCUCUGGGAGGAGGGGGCUGGUGUCUUGCGCGCACAGCCUCAAAUGCCGCGUCGAGGAUGCGCCUCUGCCUCUUUACCCCGACCUCGAAAAGGCCAUCUACGAGCUCAUCGUCGGCUUCUACGACCAGGCGUUCAACCGGCUGCCCUGCGACAGGAUUCCGGGCCUCCGCGACCUGCUCACCACCGCCGGCACCUGCCUCGGCCUCCUCGACCCCGUCUCCAACAUCAUCCUCAACACCCUCGCCCUCCUCCCCGAAGGCGCCGCCGCCGCAGCUUCCACCGCUCCACCCGCCACAAAGAAGUCCAAAAGACUAGUGCGCAAGGCCUGGGCCUGGCACGACAUUGCAAACAGGUCCUACAACAGUCUCCUGGCCUUCCUCAUGGCGUACUUCGGAUGUCUCUGCACCAAGGAACAGGCCGCCCGCUACAUCUACUGGGCGGGCGCCAAUCUCAGCCUCGCCGUCAUGCUCGUCGAAUACGAUCUCUACUAUAGGGUGGAGGAUACACUGGACCCUGAAUCCGGCAGGACGCAGGCCGCCCUCGAGUGGGCGGCCACCAUCGCAGGUCACCCUUCCCCCACCGUUUUGACUAAGCUCAUGUCAUCCCAGCUCAAAGACGACGACUUUCACCUUCUGGAGAAGCAACUCUUUUCAGCAGCAGAUACCCCUCUCAAGGCUGAUGAUGUCGGAGAAAUCGACAGCAUAUUGCGCAUGAUGAUGAGCCCGCCCUGUGUUGCCAGCAGGACACCAGGACCACCUCCACCUCUCUCUGCUGGGGACGGAAAACCCAUCUCGUCGCUGCAGUGCGGACUGCCUGACAAGCUAGAACGUUGCCUGGAAAGAGCAGCUGGCCUGGAACAAUAUUUGGAGAACCUGUGCAGCAGUGACAGCUGCGAUUACCUGCAGACUCUCAAGAUGCACCUCCACGGUAUGAUUCAUAUCUGCUGCGUCAAGGUGCUCAAGCUGCUGCCCAAACCAUCCGGCUCGCUCAUGCGCGCCUUCCUCAUGGCCGGCCACUGCUACGGCUCCAUGGACCCUGUCUCCAACAUCAUCGUCAACUCCAUUUGGGACAACAGCCACGGCUGCCCUCUCCCAGAGUCUGAACGCAGCAAGAUUGAGCAAUACAAUGACAUCCUGGACCCCCUAUCUCUGCUCCGCACACAGGUUCACUCCCUCAAGGGCCUUGUGGAACUCGCCAAAUUCGCCAUCCUGGAGACAGCACACGGGGGGUUCUCAACAGAGGGUUGUGCUCUGGAGUUGCUCUGCAGUGCAGGAUGCGACGUUUUUGACAGGUUUCCAUCAUCGGCAGGGAUGUUUAAAGAGAAGAAGCUCUUCCAUGAAGUUGCCAAGGCCGCUGGACACCCUCUACCGCUUCAGCUGGGUGAACUGCACGAGAUGCUGAUGGUAGCACCCGAGGGACAAGCGCUGCUCUCCUUGACGUCCGAGGCUCAAAUUCAAUGUAGUGUGUUGCGCAUCGAGGACAUGACAAAUCAUAUAAGCCGCAUGUGGCGCGGUUGGGUGGCUGCUAAAACUGGUGGCGUUGUGCAAGCUCCUAAACUUUUUCCAAAGUCUUUGAUGUUCGUGUCAAGCAUGAGAUCAAAGUAUGAGGAGCGGAGGAGUUGGUUCCGCUCAAAGAUUGAACAGGUGCUGAAGGAUUACACGACCCAGCAUUUUUGGGAGCAGCAGUAUAAACUUGAUAUUAUCUGUGGCGUGGAGGCAAUCAACAAAGGCCGCCCCCCCUUGGGUGAGAUGUGCUACCGCGUGAACUUCACUGCUACUUCCCAUUUGGAGCGUGAGAGGAGGCUAUUCUUCGCUGAGUUUUUGUUCUCAGGUGGGCCAAGGCCAGAGACCUGCUGCCCUCUACCCUAUGACUAUGCGGGCCGUUGCUACUAUGGUGAGCAAACCGCGAGGAAAAUUGUGUAUCCUGAUGACGCCAAAUACAUCCCGCACGAUAUCACCCAUCCUGGAACCCGCCGUGUGGAUGACAUGCUAGAGAUGGACGUCGUCCACUUCAGUUCCGAGAUGGACGUGGAGCUCGCAGAGAAACUCAACAAGAUGCAUGCCAAUUGA